rnacentral:rRNA from 1 species
GAUGAACGCUGGCGGCGUGCCUAAUACAUGCAAGUCGAGCGAACGGACGAGAAGCUUGCUUCUCUGAUGUUAGCGGCGGACGUGUGAGUCACACGUGGAUAACCUACCUAUAAGACUGGGAUAACUUCGGGAACCCGGAGCUAAUACCGGAUAAUAUUUUGAACCGCAUGGUUCAAAAGUGAAAGACGGUCUUGCUGUCACUUAUAGAUGGAUCCGCGCUGCAUUAGCUAGUUGGUAAGGUAACGGCUUACCAAGGCAACGAUGCAUAGCCGACCUGAGAUGGUGAUCGAGCACACUAGAACCGAGAAACGUUCCAGACUCCUACGGGAGGCACCAGUCGGGAAUCUUCGCCAAUGGGCGAAAGCCUGACGUAGCCACGCCGGGUCUGUGACGAAGGUCUACGGAUCGUAAAACUCUGUUAUCAGGGAAGAACAUAUGUGUAAGUAACUGUGCAGAUCCGGACGGUACCUAAUCAGAAAGGCACGGCUAACUACGGG